GUGCUCACUUCGGCAGCACAUAUACUAAAAUUGGGAACCAUACAGAGAUUAGUUUGACUCCUGCACAAGGAUGAUGUGCAAAUUUGUGAAGCAUUCCAUAUUUUU
rnacentral:snRNA from 1 species